ensembl:snRNA U6 U6 spliceosomal RNA
GUGCUCUCUUCUGCAGCACAUAUACUGAAAUUGGAACGAUACAGAGGAGAUUAGCGUGGCCCCUGCACAAGGAGGCCAUACGGGUUUGUGAAGUGUUCCAUAUUUUU